UGAGGAAUAUUGGUCAAUGGGCGCAAGCCUGAACCAGCCAAGUCGCGUGAAGGAAGACGGCCCUAUGGGUUGUAAACUUCUUUAGGGUGGGAACAAAGGACGCCACGCGUGGCGAGAUGAGUGUACCACCAGAAUAAGCAUCGGCUAACUCCGUGCCAGCAGCCGCGGUAAUACGGAGGAUGCGAGCGUUAUCCGGAUUUAUUGGGUUUAAAGGGUGCGUAGGCGGUUUGUCAAGUCAGCGGUCAAACUGCGGGGCUUAACCUCGUAUUGCCGUUGAAACUGGCUGACUAGCGUGGCGUCGAGGUGUGCGGAAUGCGUUGUGUAGCGGUGAAAUGCAUAGAUAUUAGGAGGAACACCAGUGGCGAAGGCGGAUUGCUGGACGACAACUGACGGUGAGGCGCGAAAGCGUGGGGAGCAAACAGGAUUAGAUACCCUGGUAGU
rnacentral:rRNA from 1 species